rnacentral:rRNA from 1 species
AUUGAACGCUGGCGGCAGGCCUAACACAUGCAAGUCGAACGAGUGGCGGACGGGUGAGUAAUGUCUGGGAAACUGCCUGAUGGAGGGGGAUAACUACUGGAAACGGUAGCUAAUACCGCAUACCAUCAGAUGUGCCCAGAUGGGAUUAGCUAGUUGGUGGGGUAACGGCUCACCAGGGCGACGAUCCCUAGCUGGUUUGAGAGGAUGACCAGCCGCCCUGGAACUGAGACACGGUCCAGACUCCUACGUGAGGCAGCAGUGGGGAAUAUUGCACAAUGGGCGCAAGCCUUAUGCAGCCAUGCCGCGUGUGUGAAGAAGGUCUUCGGAUUGUAAAGCACUUUAAGUUGGGAGGCGUUACCAACAGAAUAAGCACCGGCUAACUUCGUGCCAGCAGCCGCGGUAAUAC